rnacentral:tRNA from 1 species
GAAAUAGAAGCUAAAUAGAGCAUUUGAUUGUUAAUCAAAAAUAGCACAAGUUAAAUUGUGCCUUUUUCG